rnacentral:rRNA from 1 species
AACGAACGCUGGCGGCAUGCCUAACACAUGCAAGUCGAACGAGACCUUCGGGUCUAGUGUCGCACGGGUGCGUAACGCGUGGGAACCUGCCCUCAUGUUUGGAAUAACUCCCCGAAAGGGGUGCUAAUACCAGAUAAUGUCUUCUGACCAAAGAUUUAUUGCCUCGGGUUGGUCCCGAGUUGGGUUAGGUAGUUGGUAGGGUAAAAGCCUACCAAGGCGGAGAUCCAAAGCUGGUCUGGGUGGAUGAUCAGCCACACUGCGACUGAGACACGGCCCGAACCCUCAGGGAAGGGAGAAGUGGGGAAGAUGGAACGAUGGGCGAAAGCCGAAGGCAGCAGGGCCGCGAGAGUGAUGAAGGCCUUAGGGUGGUAUAGCUAUUUUACCGGGCAUGAUAAGGACGGAACCGGGAAAAUAAGCACGGGCAAACUCGGG